rnacentral:lncRNA from 1 species
GUUCAGCCUUCCUGUAUCCAUCAGACCAUCGAGAUGGACGUUCUGUGGGACCCCCAAGAAGCAACCCUCCCUGGACUAGACAGAGUCUGUGCAGACACAGCGGGUUCUCAGCGUGGAGCCUCGCCGCCUUCGUGGUUUGUUGGAAGACCUGGAGGAUGGUAAAAGAUCUGUCACCCACCCUAUCUGCCACGCCGCCCAGCUGGUCUCCCUGUUGCUAACCUCGCCCCUCCUCCAAAGCCCUGUCUACCCCGCUGCCAGAGGAUCAUCCUAUCACCAGAUCGGGUCGCUUUCUGCUAAAAUACUUCAGGGGCCCCCCGGCUCUGGCCAGCCCUGCAUCCCUGCAACAGGAUCCUGCUACCAACGCACACACUCGCACCCGUGGCCUUGCCUGGAUUCCCUUUCCUCCUGAGCUCAAUCCUGGCUUUCUUCAGACUUCAUGGGAGUGUAAUUUCUUCCCAGAAGCCUUUCUGGGCCCCUCUUCUCACCUACAAUUUCCCUCUCUCUUAGAGGGCACUUCUCACCCCAGGCUCUCGUCGCUGGUUUACUGGGCCAUGAGCUCCUCAAGGGUAGAGACACAAAUCGAUGGAACUUCCAGCCUCGAGAGCUGUGAGAGAGUACACUUCUGUUGCUUAAGUCCCCCCGGCUAUGACACUUUGUUCUGGCAGCCUGAACAGACUAAGAUCCAGCCCUGGCAAUAUGUUUUCUCCAAGGCCAGGACAAUUGUGAGGAGGCCCUGAAAUAAGAAUGAAUGACCCUGCCUGCUCAGGAAGACCUGAUUUGUCGGGACUUCAGCCCGUCUUCAGAUCUCCACAGAAUCUGUGUGCUGGGGACCUCUCGUGGCAACUCUGUGUCCUCGCCCUCUCAGCAGCAAGAAAACACAAACGCGUGGACUCAGAAGAGAAGUGGUCAUUGUUAUUUGGGGGAAUAAGUACAAACAUUGAAAGUUAAAAAUGUAGAAAUACAGAUGAUCAGUAAACAUCUAAAAUUUGUUCAACAUCUCCAGUAACUAAAGAAACUUAAAUCGUGUGUGUGUGCGUGCCUGUGCAUGUGUGUAUAGUACAGAAUUUUAAUGAGAGUUGUACCCAGUGUUGGGAUGAUGGAAAUAGGCAUUAGGCAUUCCCCUAGGCUUGGUGGGAGCGUGCAUUGACGCAAUUAGCACAACCAGUUUUUGGAGAGAAAUUAGGCCUUAAAUUUUCUUUAAAAUGUUCACAUUCCCUCACUCAG